GAUGAACGCUGGCGGCGUGCCUAAUACAUGCAAGUCGAGCGAACAGACGAGGAGCUUGCUCCUCUGACGUUAGCGGCGGACGGGUGAGUAACACGUGGAUAACCUACCUAUAAGACUGGGAUAACUUCGGGAAACCGGAUCUAAUACCGGAUAAUAUAUUGAACCGCAUGGUUCAAUAGUGAAAGACGGUUUUGCUGUCACUUAUAGAUGGAUCCGCGCCGCAUUAGCUAGUUGGUAAGGUAACGGCUUACCAAGGCAACGAUGCGUAGCCGACCUGAGAGGGUGAUCGGCCACACUAGAACUGAGACACGGACCAGACUCCUAAGGGAGGCAGCAGUCGGGAAUCUGCCGCAAUGGGCGAAAGCCUGACGGAGCAACGCCGCGUGAGUGAUGAAGGUCUUCGGAUCGUAAAACUCUGUUAUUAGGGAAGAACAAGUGUGUAAGUAACUAUGCACGUCUUGACGGUACCUAAUCAGAAAGCCACGGCUAACUACGUG
rnacentral:rRNA from 1 species